AUACGGAGGGUGCAAGCGUUAUCCGGAAUCACUGGGUUUAAAGGGUGCGUAGGUGGCUUGGUAAGUCAGAGGUGAAAGCCCACCGCUUAACGGUGGAACUGCCUUUGAUACUGUCAGGCUUGAAUAAGGUUGAGGUCGGCGGAAUGUGUCAUGUAGCGGUGAAAUGCAUAGAUAUGACAUAGAACACCAAUUGCGAAGGCAGCUGGCUAGACCUUUAUUGACACUGAGGCACGAAAGCGUGGGGAGCGAACAGGAUUAGAAACCCCAGUAGUCC
rnacentral:rRNA from 1 species